rnacentral:rRNA from 1 species
GACGAACGCUGGCGGCGUGCUUAACACAUGCAAGUCGAGCGAUGAAGCUCCUUCGGGAGUGGAUUAGCGGCGGACGGGUGAGUAACACGUGGGUAACCUGCCUCAUAGAGGGGAAUAGCCUUUCGAAAGGAAGAUUAAUACCGCAUAAGAUUGUAGUUUCGCAUGAAACAGCAAUUAAAGGAGUAAUCCGCUAUGAGAUGGACCCGCGUCGCAUUAGCUAGUUGGUGAGGUAACGGCUCACCAAGGCGACGAUGCGUAGCCGACCUGAGAGGGUGAUCGGCCACAUUGGGACUGAGACACGGCCCAGACUCCUACGGGAGGCAGCAGUGGGGAAUAUUGCACAAUGGGGGAAACCCUGAUGCAGCAACGCCGCGUGAGUGAUGACGGUCUUCGGAUUGUAAAACUCUGUCUUCAGGGACGAUAAUGACGGUACCUGAGGAGGAAGCCACGGCUAACUACGUGCCAGCCGCCGCCGUAAAAC